GCUUCGUUGGCACAGCCGGCAGCGCGUCAGUCUCAUAAUCUGAAGGUCGUGAGUUUGAGCCUCACAUGGAUCA
rfam:Rhabditophanes sp. KR3021 genome assembly, scaffold: RSKR_scaffold0000058